rnacentral:lncRNA from 1 species
GGAGGAUGGGUGGGUCCGUUGAAGGGGAUAUUUUCCGGGGUUUCCUUUUUUGUUUCUCAUAUUUGGCAUUCAUAGCUUGCGAGGAUGGGUGGGAGUGGGACCGUGGGAGGGGAUAUUUUCCGUCCACAGUUUGAUAGCGCUCAUACAUUGCAUUGAUCCCUCGUAACUUGCCACGGACAUGAGCCAAAGCUCUUUAUUUCUAAUCAUCUCUGUUAACCACAAUAACACUUAUAGUUGCUCUCUCUCAAAAAAAACUGAGGCUGCGAUACGAUGACUUGCGCAAAUGUGGGCGCUGCUAGUUUAUCCCAAUAUAUCUGACGACUUGUUACUCAACCAUUGAAGGUACAGCGAAAUUGGGAUUUUUACCAUCACGAACAUUGGGCUUCGCACAGUUGCCAUAGUCAAGAUUGGUUUCGC